UACGACGUCGAAAUUGUCGUCGUUUGAAGACCUGCAGUCCAUAAAGUCGAUGGGGUUUCGAGGAGAAGCUCUUGCGAGCAUGACGUAUGUGGCUCAUGUGACGGUGACGACGAUCACCAAAGGGCAGUUGCAUGGUUAUAGGGUCUCUUAUAAAGAUGGAGUGAUAGAGCAUGAGCCGAAGGCGUGCGCUGCCGUAAAAGGAACUCAGAUGAUGAUUGAGAACUUAUUCUAUAACAUGUCUGCCCGGAGAAAGAAUCUGCAAAACUCUGCGGAUGAUUUUUCAAAGAUUGUAGAUUUGUUAAGCCGGUUUGCCAUUCAUCACCACAAGUGUUAGCUUCUCCUGCAGAAAGCAUGGAGCCGGUAGAGCAGAUGUUAGUUCUGUUGCCACAUUAUCAAGAAUUGAUGCGAUUCGUUCAGUUUAUGGGGUGUCAGUUGCCCGCAGUCUGAUGAAAGUAGAAGCUUUGGACAAUGAUCCGUCGAGCUCAGUUUUCCAGAUGGAUGGCUUUAUCUCCAAUUCCGAAUAUGUUGCGAAGAAGAUAACUAUGGUGCUUUUUAUAAACGGUGAGUCUUCUGAAUCAGGAAGUCAUCAUUGAGAAGAUACAGUCAGUGGUUGAAUCAAGAUUGAGAAGCUCCAAUGAGACAGAUAUUUCAGGAGCAGUUAAGCUCCAAUACGCACCGACUCAAUUUGGUAUAGGGAUGUUUAUGCCUUUGAAACAUCCGAUCCCAAGCAGCACGGAAUCAGGAAGAUGGAUGCCACUUUAUUGGAGGCAAGUUAUUCCCUUGGAUGGUGCAGCUGGGCGGCAAAUUGUACGCCCUUUGCUAUAUGGGGGUGCCCGAUCCUCUGGCAUUUGAGGUAUUUGACCCUAAACUGCAGACUUGGUCUGCUCUACCUCAGCCUCCAUUUUUCCAAGUUGGCUCUCGAUAUUACAACCAUGCUCCUUUUGCUUAUGCAAUUGCUGGCACCAAAAUGUUUGUCUCCCAUGAACUAUGUCCAGUCUUCUGCUUUGAUGUCUCCCACCCAGACUCUGAAUGGAGACUAGUCCCCACUAUGUGCCAAGGCGGCCCUUUUCUUUUCUCGGCACAGCUUUAGUCCUGGACCUGCCGGCUGGUGGCAACAAGAAAAUAUUGUUUGGCCAUAAUGCUCGUCGUUGUUUUAGUCUGGGAGUUCAUCUUAUGUCGGGGUUGGAUGAAAAUGAAGAAUCCAUCACACAAAUUGGGGAUUUGAAACUGCCAAUAUGGCCUUAUGAGUUGGGUUCCCCAGCAGCUUCUGAUUUUGUCCACAUAGGAGGUCAAAAAGCCUGCCUCGUUAUCACCCAAUUCACAUCAUCAGUGGAAGAGGAACCUAGAUGGAAUGAGCCGGGGACUCAUAAGAUCGACACAAGGGGUUGCCAUACCAUUUCAAUUUGAGAUUGAUAUCACCAAGCUGGACAACGACGAGAAAGAUUGCUUCACUCUCCAAUUCAUGCCUCCUCGCAUCUUCCAAUACCAGACUAACCAGCCACUUAUCCAAGCCCUGAAACGGUACUUGGCAGCAAAGGGGUGAGAGUCUGGUGAUUGUGAAAGAUAUUCCAAAUAUUAUCGUUCGCCUUAGCCAGGUGAAUGGGUCAGUAUUUCUUAGCUUAUUUCUUCUGCAAUUAUUUGUCUUACAAUAAAAUCUGAUUGGAAGUUUAAUUUCUUCUGUUAAACUUUUUCAUAAAUGUAUUAAAGCGGUUGGUACUUCAUAUGUAGAUUGUCAUUGCAUACCUGUGAUAUGACUGUGUAAGGAU